rnacentral:rRNA from 1 species
AAAUAACAAUACGGGGCUUAAUGUCUUGUAAUUGGAAUGAUGGGAAUUUAAACCUCUUCCAGAGUAUCAAUUGGAGGGCAAGUCUGGUGCCAGCAGCCGCGGUAAUUCCAGCUCCAAUAGCAUAUAUUAAAAUUGUUGCAGUUAAAAAGCUCGUAGUUGAAUUUCUGCUGCAUUACAUAUCUCUUGUUUGAGUUUGUUUUUGUGGCUUAUUUCGGUUUGAUUUUUUCUUUCCGGAUGAUUACUUUGAGAAAAUUAGAGUGCUCAAAGCAGGCAUUGCCUUGAAUAGUUUAGCAUGGAAUAAUAAAGUAGGACUUUGGUUCUAUUUUGUUGGUUUUAGGUACCAAAGUAAUGGUUAAUAGGAACAGUUGGGGGCAUUCGUAUUUA